CCCAAGAACCUCAAACUGCACGUGGGAAUUGGAGCCCUCAGCGCGGAAGUCCAUCAUUCCUGUCAGACCACUGAUCCGUCCCUGGAGGGUCAAGAACAAAAGCCACUGUUUAUGAUUUUAUCUUGAUCAUUUUGCUCGAGAGAGACUGACUGAAAACGUCGAUGCAUUCGUCACGCUCUGUGGAUUAGUAAUCAAUAGGUUUCGUGUUGUCGAUAAAGAUGACAAGUUCCUCCAGAUUAAACUCAAAUGGAUGUAAAGAAAUAGAUGCCACUGCAGCAAAGCAUUUGAAGUUGGUUUCCACCGCCUGCAGCAAUGAUGAAAAGAGAAAGACAUAGAAGGUUAGUUUAUUCAAGUAUUCUAAUUCAUUUAAAUCUUUUUUUUUUUGUUUGUGUCAGAGGUUAGGUCAAGUGUCAGAGGUUCUUAGUCUAAAUUAAUCUCUGAAAGUCCUAGUUUAUUACGUUAAGAUGACAGAAAACACACCAGAAUGCUCCUAAACAACAGAUUGAGCAAAACACUUUGUUAAUAGCAGAUGUAAAGACAAAGUGUAAAUAUUUCUAUAAAAUAAAUGAUAAUUUAAGGAUUUUAAUUUUAGGAGAAGAUUUUUGCACAACUAUCAUUUUACAAACAGUAAAAAGAUGUAAAGCAAAGCUGUAUUUGAACACACAAAGACACUUUUGUUAGCAUUUAAGCUUUGUUCCCACUUUGAAUCAUCUGAAU